AUGGAGAGGGGCGAGAGCAUCCUGGAUGCCGUGCUCGACGAGGAAACCCUAGAUUUCGGCGGAGAUGACGUCGAGAUGGCUGACGCGGAGGCGGACGAAACCCCCAUCCCCGACCCCCCCGCCGCCGGAGCAGGAACCGCUGGCGGUGGUGCGCAGGUGGGCGGACCGGCGGGCAAGAAAAAGAAGAAGAGAAAGUCCGGGAGGAGUAAGAACAGGGGGAGGCCUGAUGGGCCACCCACCAAGAUCGGCGACAUUAAUCGUUUUGUACUUGACACGUGCAGGCGCUUGAAGGAGAAAAAGUCAUACCUUGUCUGGAAUGCUAUUGGCUGCCUUGGUGUUUCUGCUGUCAGCGAUCUUGUACGAGAGGUUGAGGCCAUUCAGAAGUGUGGUGGGCAGACAAUUGCUGAUGGAAGUCGUUUCCGGACAGGUGGUGGAAUCCUCUGGAACAUCUUGAAAUCACGAGAGCCAAAGGCAUACAAGGAAAUUAUGGUGAAGGGAAGGGAGCUUGAGAAGCAGUUCAUGUAUACGAAAGGCAGACCACAGAUGAGCAGAAAUGAAGAUGCAAGCUCACAGGGCACCGCGCUAGUUGACGAGGAAAUUGAAGCACAUGAUGACCCUGAGCACUUGGUCGAUGCAGAGGAAGCACCUCCUUCUGUUGAUAAAGCUGAACCUCGUAAACCAGUAGCCGACAGGAUUCGUGUGCCUGUUGCUUAUGAUGAUCUUUUUGAAGAUGGAGAGAUACAAGAAGAACAACCACAAAAUUGA
rnacentral:rRNA from 1 species